rnacentral:rRNA from 1 species
GUGCCGUGAGGUGUUGGGUUAAGUCCCGCAACGAGCGCAACCCCCAUCGCAUGUUGCCAGCGGGUUAUGCCGGGAACUCAUGCGAGACUGCCGGAGAAACUCCGGAGGAAGGAGGGGAUGACGUCAAGUCCGCAUGGCCCUUAAGCCUGGGGCUGCAAACGCGCUACAAUGCGCGGUACAGCGGGUAGCAAACUCGCAAGAGGGAGCCAAUCCCGAAAAGCCGCGCCCAGUUCGGAUCGGGGUCUGCAACCCGACCCCGUGAAGUUGGAGUCGCUAGUAAUGGCAGAUCAGCAUGCUGCCGUGAAUACGUUCUCGGGCCU